AUUGAACGCUGGCGGAAUGCUUUACACAUGCAAGUCGAACGAUGAACCUUAGCUUGCUAAGGGGAUUAGUGGCGAACGGGUGAGUAAUGUAUCGGAACGUAUCCAAUAAUGGGGGAUAACUAGUCGAAAGAUUAGCUAAUACCGCAUACGUCCUACGGGAGAAAGCUAGGGACCUUCGGGCCUGGCGUUAAUGGAGCGGCCGAUAUCUGAUUAGCUAGUUGGUGGGGUAAAGGCCCACCAAGGCGACGAUCAGUAGCUGGUCUGAGAGGACGACCAGCCACACGGGAACUGAGACACGGUCCAGACUCCUACGGGAGGCAGCAGUGGGGAAUUUUGGACAAUGGGCGAAAGCCUGAUCCAGCCAUUCCGCGUGAGUGAAGAAGGCCUUCGGGUUGUAAAGCUCUUUCGCAAGAGAAGAAAACUUAGGCUCUAACAUAGCUUGAGGUUGACGGUACCUUGAUAAGAAGCACCGGCUAACUACGUGCCAGCAGCCGCCGUAA
rnacentral:rRNA from 1 species